AGUAGCCGCGGACCUCGGUGAGUACAAGGUGGUGGGGGGUCGCCAGCAGGUUCCCUCUCCCCGGCCCCAGCUCUGGACGCUCACCCCAGUGCAACGCCCUGAGUGACGGAAAGAGGUCUGGCGGCUUCUCUGUUGACAACUCAGCUGGUUCCACACCCUGGCAAUUGUGAAGAGUUGGCCAAAUGUUUGUCCACUGAGCUGAUCUCCUCUCUGGAGCACCGGGGCCACCAGGAGGGAGUAGAGACGAGGUCUUACCAUGUUGCCCAGGCUGCUCUUGAACUCCUGAACGCAAGCAAUCCUCUCACCUUGGCCUCCUGAGGUGCUGGGAUUAUAGGCAUGAGCCACCAUGCCUAUCCCUGUUGUCCUUGUUUGGCCCAGAGGCUGGAAGAUCACUUGAGGCCAGAAGUUCAAGACCAGCCUCGGCAACAU
rnacentral:lncRNA from 1 species